AUCGAGAGAGAUUAUAUUUAUGCUUCGUCGUCUUUUUUCUCUGUGAUUCUCUCAUCGACGACGGUGGCACAGAAGAAUCGAUCCUCUUUCCUCUUCAUGGAUCGGUCGGUGUGGUUUUUCUUUACUCUACCCUAAAGUGAUUUACGUAAGAAGGAUUCGUUGAGAAGGCGUUUUGAGUAAUGGAUUCUGCAAAUAAGUUUAGGGUUUUAGGUCCCGAGAUAUAUAAUGGGCUAAUAAUGGCUCUGAUGAUGAUGAGCUCGCUCGCUCGACGUGGAAACUGAUCAAACAGAGGAAUUAAACAGAGCACAUCGAUGAUGGAUGGUUCUACACUUCUACGUGCCAGAGACGAAUUGAAAUUUAAAGAAAAAAAAAGGUCGUGUUUCCCACUCCAAAGUUGAAGCCGCCUUUAUUCUUAAAACUUAAAAGCAACAGCUACGCAAAAAAAAGCCUGAAUGAAUAAAAUCAAGUUCACUACUCUAACUGCGCCAAGAAUCCAUACAUCCUCGUCCACAUGCGUCAUCUUCAAUAGCGCUUACCACCCAAGAAGAACGUGAGGUCAAUUUCUAUUUUUUUUUAAUCUUUAUUAGUUUCAAUUAAAGAUAUUUGUUUCUUUUUUUUGCUUUUUUAUAUUAAGUUUACAAAUCGAUGCGAAAACUAAUCCCGAACACUAAUUCAAUUAGUUUCUGCAUUGUGAUGUAGAUUUAACACUAAGGUUUAAAUUUUGAUUUUUUAUAAGAGU